AUGUCAGCACCUUGGUGAGCACCCUGAGGUGGUUAUCGGGAUGGGGUCAGAUGAUCCCUAAUUACACCUGCCAGGCACAGAACAAGAAUGUGGCUGUCACUGCAGGAACCACACCAGCAUUCUCUGCCCACAUUGGGACACUGUUGGAGCUCUACAAAAUACCACAGAGAACUCAAUAUGGAACACUUUUUCUCUUUUGAUUUAGACAACCUAUGGAGAUUUUGAUCCUGUACUGAAAGGAACUGAAUGUGGAAAUUUUUGGAGUGUCCAUUCAAUGCCUCCCUGGAGUCUCUGCCAAAGGAAACAUUAGACACGACUCUGUCUGGAUCCAGCUACUACAUCUAUGAUGCUGUGGAUGUGGUGGCCUGAGCCCUCCAUGAAAUACUUUUUAUAAAAGCAGAACAGGGGUCCAUAAUGGAUGCAGGCCAGCUCAUGUUUCUCCCUUAGCAGGUUGCAAGUAAACCUCUAAUGAUUGUAGGGUCUAAUUAGCAACAGUGUCAACUCUUUUAACUAGAAAUAAUUGAUUAAAAACUUUCACUGUGAGAGGUAGGAAGAAGCAGGCUGUCUUUCUUUGUCUCUUCUUGAGCUCGAGGAAACUCCCUAGCACCCCUAAAGCAAACCUCAUUGCUCAAGGUGCAGCUCAGG